rnacentral:rRNA from 1 species
CCUACGGGAGGCAGCAGUAGGGAAUCUUCCACAAUGGGCGAAAGCCUGAUGGAGCAACGCCGCGUGGGUGAAGAAGGUCUUCGGAUCGUAAAACCCUGUUGUUAGAGAAGAAAGUGCGUGAGAGUAACUGUUCACGUUUCGACGGUAUCUAACCAGAAAGCCACGGCUAACUACGUGCCAGCAGCCGCGGUAAUACGUAGGUGGCAAGCGUUAUCCGGAUUUAUUGGGCGUAGAGGGAACGCAGGCGGUCUUUUAAGUCUGAUGUGAAAGCCUUCGGUUUAACCGGAGUAGUGCAUUGGAAACUGGGAGACGUGAGUGCAGAAGAGGAGAGUGGAACUCCAUGUGUAGCGGUGAAAUGCGUAGAUAUAUGGAAGAACAUCAGUGGCGAAAGCGGCUCUAUGGUCUGUAACUGACGCUGAGGUUCGAAAGCGUGGGUAGCAAACAGGAUUAGAGACCCUAGUAGUC